rnacentral:rRNA from 1 species
AUUCAACGCUGGCGGCAGGCCUAACACAUGCAAGUCGAGCGGAUGAAGGGAGCUUGCUCCUGGAUUCAGCGGCGGACGGGUGAGUAAUGCCUAGGAAUCUGCCUGGUAGUGGGGGAUAACGUCCGGAAACGGGCGCUAAUACCGCAUACGUCCUGAGGGAGAAAGUGGGGGAUCUUCGGACCUCACGCUAUCAGAUGAGCCUAGGUCGGAUUAGCUAGUUGGUGGGGUAAAGGCCUACCAAGGCGACGAUCCGUAACUGGUCUGAGAGGAUGAUCAGUCACACUGGAACUGAGACACGGUCCAGACUCCUACGGGAGGCAGCAGUGGGGAAGAUUGGACAAUGGGCGAAAGCAUGAUCCAGCCAUGCCGCGUGUGUGAAGAAGGUCUUCGGAUUGUAAAGCACUUUAAGUUGGGAGGAAGGGCAGUAAGUUAAUACCUUGCUGUUCUGACGUUACCAACAGAAUAAGCACCGGCUAACUUCGUG